UAUCUCUGUAGAGUCUGCAUAUCAAUAAGCGGAGGAAAAGAAACUAACUAGGAUUCCCUUAGUAACGGCGAGUGAAGCGGGAAGAGCUCAAAUUUGAAAUCUUCAAGGUUCUACCUUGACGAAUUGUAGUUUAAAGAAGUGUUUUCUGUUGGAGUUUUGGUAAAAGUUCUUUGGAAUAGGACAUCAUGGAGGGUGAGAAUCCCGUAUUUGACCAUUUCUUCCAGCUGUGUGAUACACUUUCAAAGAGUCGGAUUGUUUGGGAAUGCAGUCCAAAAUGGGUGGUAAAUUUCAUCUAAAGCUAAAUAUUGGCGAGAGACCGAUAGCGAACAAGUACCGUGAGGGAAAGAUGAAAAGGACUUUGAAAAGAGAGUUAGACAGUACGUGAAAUUGUCAAAAGGGAAGCGUUUGACACCAGUGUUGUUUUUCUCGAAAAUCAAUUAAAAUGGCAGUUAUUUUGAGUUGUAUGACUUCAUCAGCUUGCUGCACUUUCUUUAUGUACUUUCUUAAUGCACUUUUCGUUUAACAAGUCAACAUCAAUUUCUUUUGUUGUAAAAGGGUCAUUGGAAGGUGGCUUUCUUUUCGGAGAAAGUGUUUAUAGCCUUGUGCCUCUGCAAUCGGAGAGAUUGAGGUCUGCAGCGUAGAUCCUUCGGGGUUAGAUACGUUUGUGCUAAGUUAUAGCUUUGUCAUAGACAACAUGUUGACUAUGUUUAGUCUUGUAGCUUACUCGCGGAUAGCUAUUUUACCUACGCUUAGGAUGUUGAGUAGCGACAUACGCAC
rnacentral:rRNA from 1 species